UCAAAUGGAACAAGAGAUAGCUUAUUCUGAGC
rnacentral:piRNA from 1 species